rnacentral:lncRNA from 1 species
UUUUUUCUUAUCAACAACAGAAAAAAGCGCAGUAUUCAAGUCCUGCACAGAGUGAGAAGUGAACUUGAAGCACGCUGGGAGAGCCUGGGGAGGAGGAAGAUAGUGCGUUGGUCCUUGAGGUUGUAUUGUUGCCUGUAUAACUAUGAUGAAUGAGGUGCCCCAGCACAGGAAUUUUAAAACAUGUCAUGGAAUAUUCUGCAUGGGAAGAAAGACGGAAAUACAAUUUUAGAUGAUGCAAGUCUCAAGUUACUUAUGACAAUUCUUAGAAUGUUUUGGGAACGUCUGGAAUAGUUGACAGUUGAGUUUUGCUUCACAUGGAGUCAUCCUGUCUUCCCAAUCAGUAAAGCAGCUGAUAACUGUUGGCCACCGUUGGGAAUAUGCAUUAAUCAGAUCAUUCAUCAACAUUUGAGGAUCCAACUGUGUUAAUGGUCACCUUUACUAACAGUAAUGUACAGCAUCAAAUAAAA